rnacentral:rRNA from 1 species
GAGUUUGAUUAUGGCUCAGGACGAACGCUGGCGGCGUGCUUAACACAUGCAAGUCGAACGUGAUUUUUGUGGAAAUUCUUUCGGGAAUGGAAGCGAAAUGAAAGUGGCGAACGGGUGAGUAACACGUGAGCAACCUACCUUACACAGGGGGAUAGCCGUUGGAAACGACGAUUAAUACCGCAUGAGACCACAGUAUCGCAUGAUAUAGGGGUCAAAGAUUUAUCGGUGUAAGAUGGGCUCGCGUCUGAUUAGCUAGUUGGAAGGGUAAAGGCCUACCAAGGCGACGAUCAGUAGCCGGUCUGAGAGGAUGAACGGCCACAUUGGAACUGAGACACGGUCCAAACUCCUACGGGAGGCAGCAGUGGGGAAUAUUGCACAAUGGGGGGAACCCUGAUGCAGCGACGCCGCGUGAGCGAAGAAGGUUUUCGAAUCGUAAAGCUCUGUCCUAUGAGAAGAUAAUGACGGUAUCAUAG